rnacentral:rRNA from 1 species
UACGGAAGGGGCGAGCGUUGUUCGGAAUCAUUGGGCGUAAAGGGCGCGUAGGUGGUUCUGUAUGUCUACCGUGAAAGCGUACGGCUCAACCGUAUUUUGUCGGUAGAAACUGCAGGACUUGAGGCUGGGAGGGGCUGGUGGAAUUCCCUGUGUAGCGGUGAAAUGCGUAGAGAUGGGGGGAGAACACUCGUGGCGAAGGCGGCCAGCUAGACCAGUUCUGACACUGAGGCGCGACACGUGGGGGAGCAAAACAGGAUUAGAAAACCCCCAGUAG